AGCGAACGCUGGCGGCAGGCCUAACACAUGCAAGUCGAACGAACUCUUCGGAGUUAGUGGCGGUCGGGUGAGUAACACGUGGGAACGUGCCUUUUGGUUCGGAAUCACUCAGGGUAACUUGUGCUAAUACCGCAUGUGCUCUUCGGGGGAAAGAUUUAUCGCUAUUAGAGCGGCCCGGGUCUGAUUAGCUAGUUGGUGAGGUAAUGGCUGAUCAAGGCGACGAUCAGUAGCUGGUCUGAGAGGAUGACCAGCCACACUGGGACUAAGACACGGCCCAGACUCCUACGGGAGGGAGGAGUGGAGAAUCUUGCGCAAGGGGCGAAAGCCUGACGCAGCCAUGCCGCGUGAAUGAUGAAGGUCUUAGGAUUGUGAAAUUCUUUCACCGGGGGCGAUAAUGACGGUACCCGGAGAAGAAGCCCCGGCUAACUUCGUG
rnacentral:rRNA from 1 species